AGAAGAGGAACCAGCAGAGGGGAUUGAGAAGAUGAAGCCAAUGAAGUAGGAAGACAACCAAAAGACUGAGGUGAACUGGAAGCCAAAUGAAGAAAGUGUGUUACGGAUGAGAGAGUGAUCACUGCUACUGACUGUCAAAUGAGCCACGAAGUUUUGGGGGCAGUUUGUUAUGCAGCAAGAUAUGACUAAUUCAGAGGAGAACUCAAGACAGCUCAUCUAUAGCAACAGGCAGAUAUACAGAGCACAUGAAUGCCGAGUCUGUGGUAGGACCUGAAGCUACUACCAUGGGACCACGUGGGGAGGCCAUACAGAGUUAGAGAUACAUGCCCACAGAGCUCCAGCUGUUCAAGUCUUCACUGCUUUGGCCCCAGAUGAUGUUUUGCAGUAGCCACACUGAUGCUUAUAUCACUGAAAGGUGGAUGUCUCGGCGCAAGCUUUUGCCUGACACACGCAUGCCAUGUGACGACUCAGCUGUCCCACAUUGUCCCUCAUUGGUCCAUCUCAACCACCAGGAAACCUCUGCUUAUACCGCACACAGAAACAUCUAGCCUUUCCAUAGUGCCAGCACAUCAUCAUUACUUUCUGGUCUUGCCUCUGUUCUUUUUACAGCAGCCCAUUACAGUGGAAGAUGUUCUCCUUGAUGCCAAUGUGAUCCUAAGUACGUACACACAAGAAUCCAGGCCCUGAUGGUGAAUGUCAGCACUCAGUGAUAAGGGGUCAUUCAAUGAAAUCGGAUUUUUAAAAAUAUAUUUUCUUUAGAUUAACGUGAAAAUGAAAAUACAAAAAUUAAAAACUCUUGCAGGGAAUUAUCCACCACACAGAAGGUAUUCAUUCGUUGGACUGGAAGGGAGAGACACACACUGUAGGCAGUUGUCAGCAAAAAGUUUAGCUGACAGAGGAUGGAGUUGAGUUACGGAUGGCCCUGAAAGCCAGCAUCUAGAGACCGAGCUGUUAACUGGUAGUCACAAUGGGUUCUUGAGUAGGGGAGUGAUAUCAUGAAGGCUCUAUUUUAAGAUUCCUCUCACAGUUGUAUGUGUAUGAUGAUUUAGACAAAGGUGAGGCAGGAGCCAGGAAGACUGGCUAAUAGUCCCUUCUACUAUACAAAUUCUAGCACUUAAAAAAUCAGUGUUCACCAACUGUGGUAGUCAACUGGGCUUUUUGAAAACUACGGUAUAGGUUGUGAGUUGGAUUUCAUUUCAACACUUAGGGAUUUAUGAUGUUCUUUUUCCUACUCCUGCUUGUCAUUGAUAAAUGAUACAACCUUGGUUAAGCCAUUCAUGGCCCAGCACCUCUGAGCCUUUAUCUAUCAAACAAGAGAAAAUGAUAUAUACAUUCUACCCAUGUUAUAAAUAUUAAAAAUUACAUAUAUAUAUAAGCUUAUAUAUAUAUAAAAGCUUAUAUAUAUAUAUAUAUAUAUAUAUAUAUAUA